rnacentral:lncRNA from 1 species
AGUCCAAGUAGUCUCGAUACACCUUCCCAGAUGCACACAUCUACAGUCUUGAUUUGAACCUGUUUCUCAUGGCCGUCCUUGUCCAAAGCUUGGCUCACGUAGGGAGGGGUUUGAGCUGUAAAUCUCCCUGGGGCAGUGGACAAACAGGUGAGUGGUUUGCAAUGGUGGUUGAAUCAUCUGCGAGGGGCCAGUGAAGGCUAAAGUAUACUAGUGUCUGUGUGCAUGUGUAUACAUGUGAAGACCCCAGUGCACGCCUGUGUACCUGUGUACAUACUGGUGCUGUACUGACUUCCUGUCACAUAACCUGCUACCGUCUGAAGACUCUAGGACAGAGAGAAGGAUCCUGAAGGAAAGCUGUUGUGCCUUAUGUAUCUCAGUCUGGAACAAGCUGCACUUCCAUUUUGUCUUGUUUGAGAUCGCAUCAUACUUCCCCACAGCUGGUCAGUCACAUAGUGACUAUUAUAGAUUAACUUAAGUUUUCCAUAUUCUAGCCCAUAAGCAAAUCUUUUGGAAGGAAGUAGUAACGUUAAACUUAGAAACUUGAAAUUUUGACUACAACUUUUCAUAUUCCUAGGUAAUGUAUAUCUGACCAAAAAUGAUUUUGCUGAGGUCUUAAGGUCAAUACAAACCACCAUUUCCUAUGUAAAUUUCAGAUGUGCCCAUGACUUUUGGUGGAAAAAAAAGUCUUCCAUAUUCUGUGUUUGUAAUUAUUUUUCUCAUUACACAUGUUGGUAUUCAAUAAUUUGGAGUUUGUGAAAUUAAAAAUUCUAAUUUCAACCAUUUGAGCUAAAAAGUAUAGGAGGAAUUGUGCCUGUGGUUGUUUCAGAACUUAAAGACAUGAUAGUGAGGUGGUUGUCUUUGGCCUCUUCGGGGGAAAUUUCCUGAAGGACUGAAAAACUUAUUCUAAUGAAUAUUUACACAUUCAGUUGUGUUUCUGUAAGCCCUGGGAAACCUCUAAAGAUGCAACCAGUUCCUGGGAGGGACCAUCAGGAUUAUUUCCAUAAU